UCAACCAUCAAGCUAAGCUUGUCGUUGGACCCCUUUGUCGCCUGGCGACAGGUCCGAAAGAUAAUGAACGGUGUCAUGGCGACCCUAUAUGCAACGAGCUUGUAAAUAGCACGCAUUUGGUGGUCGUCUGGCCCGAUCGUCACUUUUUAUUUUCUCUAGG
rnacentral:misc_RNA from 1 species